rnacentral:rRNA from 1 species
GAUGAACGCUGGCGGCGUGCCUAAUACAUGCAAGUCGAACGCUUCACUUCGGUGAAGAGUGGCGAACGGGUGAGUAAUACAUAAGUAACCUGGCAUCUACAGGGGGAUAACUGAUGGAAACGUCAGCUAAGACCGCAUAGGUGUAGAGAUCGCAUGAACUCUAUAUGAAAAGUGCUACGGGACUGGUAGAUGAUGGACUUAUGGCGCAUUAGCUUGUUGGUAGGGUAACGGCCUACCAAGGCGACGAUGCGUAGCCGACCUGAGAGGGUGACCGGCCACACUGGGACUGAGACACGGCCCAGACUCCUACGGGAGGCAGCAGUAGGGAAUUUUCGGCAAUGGGGGAAACCCUGACCGAGCAACGCCGCGUGAAGGAAGAAGUAAUUCGUUAUGUAAACUUCUGUCAUAGAGGAAGAACGGUGGAUAUAGGGAAUGAUAUCCAAGUGACGGUACUCUAUAAGAAA